rnacentral:rRNA from 1 species
AUUGAACGCUGGCGGCAUGCCUUACACAUGCAAGUCGAACGGUAACGGGCCUUCGGGUGCCGACGAGUGGCGAACGGGUGAGUAAUGUAUCGGAACGUACCUUUCAGUGGGGGAUAACGUAGCGAAAGUUACGCUAAUACCGCAUAUUCUGUGAGCAGGAAAGCAGGGGAUCGCAAGACCUUGCGCUGAUUGAGCGGCCGAUAUCAGAUUAGCUAGUUGGUGGGGUAAAGGCUCACCAAGGCGAGGAGCUGUAGCGGGUCUGAGAGGGUGAACCGCCACACUGGAACUGAGACACGGUCCCGACUCCUACGGGAGGCAGCAGUGGGGAAUUUUGGACAAUGGGGGCAACCCUGAUCCAGCCAUGCCGCGUGAGUGAAGAAGGCCUUCGGGUUGUAAAGCUCUUUCGGCCGGGAAGAAAUCGUAUCAGCUAAUACCUGGUGCGGAUGACGGUACCGGCAUAAGAAGCACCGGCUAACUACGUGCCAGCCGCCGCGGUAAUAC